rnacentral:lncRNA from 1 species
AAUUAAAUUUUUUAUUUGGAAUUAAACUACAAAUCAUUUUUUAUUUUUUUAAACAAUAAUUUUGAACUCUAUUAAAAUUUAACUUUUAUUAUAUUAUUUUUAACAAUACAAAAACUAAGGUGAAAGAUUAAAUUGAUGGAAUUAUCAUAAAUAAGGAACUUAACAAAUACUUUCACUACCACCACUACCUCAUAGCUGAGUAGCCGAAGAAAAGACUUUGCUUUUGGGCUUGGGGUAUUAUUGAAAAAGAGGGCUCACGUAAACAAUGACAUAAUUGAUAUUCGUUGACACUUAUAAUUAGAUGAGGCACCCCAAAUCAUACAAUAACAAUAAAUAAAAUAUAAAAACAUAAUAUUUAUAUCAAACUUUUAAAAAUACAUAAUACUUUAAUUACAAUUAUAAGAGAUGAAAUUAUAUAAACACCAUAAAAUUAAAUGAAUUAUUUAAUUCACAGUUUCAAUAUAGAUCUCUUCUUGUCUCUUGAAAUUUGAGAGUAGAUUUGAUAAUUUGUUUAUUAAUAUCGUAUUCUAUAACUUUUAUGUAUCAUAACCAUGUUUAAAUUAUCAUAUAUGUAUUUAUAAUUUGCAUAUAUUCAUGUAUUAUUGGUGCAAAAUAUAUAAAGUGUUAGUGAGAUAAGUCUUGAAAACAUUAUGGAAUAUUAAGAAAAAUACUCUUAACAAAAAAAGAAAAAAGAAAAGAGAGAUUAAUAUGACACUAUUUUUAAUGUCAUAUAUUGUAAUGAGUAAAAGAGUUACAAAGAAAUUCACGAUCAGUGGUUACCGGCCAACGUUGGCGAGACAAAUUUGAAUAAGGACGGUGCAUUCAAUUUGGAUGACGGCAAAAGUUCGAUUGGGGGUGUAUUACAUGAUUCAAAAGGCAAGCUGGAUAGUGGGGUUUUGCAGGAGUAUUGUGGGUUCAGUUAUACAGGCAGAACCUUGGCCCAUUUUGGAGGCAUUAAAUUGGCUUUAACGAGAGGCUAUGCUCAGAUUGUAGUUGAGAGUGAUAGCAUGCAAGCAAUUGAGUUCUGUAGGAAAGCAAGACUUCAAACUUGCCACUCUCACUGGUCAGGCGAGUGCAUAGUGUGAGACGGAGUUGCAGAGGCCUAUUCUUCAGACACAUUUCUCGUGAGUAGCAGAUAAAAUCGCUAAAUUGGAAGAUGGUGAUUUCCUGGACUCGAAGAUAUAUUACCAGCCAUUGAAUUCUCAAUAGUGUAUACAAAGAAUAUCAAUUUUCAUUUAAAGAAACCUUUUACAGUACCUCUUUAUACAUCA